rnacentral:misc_RNA from 1 species
AAUAAAGAGGUUAAGAAGCCUGGAAAACAAGAAAAUUUCUAAAUUGAAACGCCAUAUGGCAGAAAUUUUAAGGAUCAGCAAAAGGUUCUACAUGAAAGACAGAUAUGCCUUCAAUUUAAUCUUUGAUCAUUAAGUCACAUCCCGAAAUAAUUGCUACAACUUGAAACUAGCAGGAUAAGAACCAAAAGGACUCGAAUAUAGAACCAUUUAUCAAGUUUUUAAAUCAAAUACAGGUUAAAAGAGUAACAUUGCAAUCAGAGAUACUGACAUCAAUUCAGAAACUGAAGAAAAUCAAUAAAACAAUGAGGAAAAAAAGGUUUGUUAUUUUUACAGAAUACAGACAAUGAGGAAAAAAGUAUUUCACAGAUUCAAAGAAACACAGCAAGUUAUCCAUGUGGCUUACAGCUAAGCUGGAAGGUCUCCAAAU